CGCGGCGAAGCCGUGUCCGGUAAGGAACCGGUUGGCGCCAGGCCGGCUCCCCCUCCUCCACCGCCUCUGCGCCGGCUACAAAAGGCGCCCCAGGUGCGCCCUCUGCACCCCGCGCUGUGGCCUCCUCCCUCUCUUCCUUUCGGAGCUUUCUCCUUCGGGCCGUGCCUCCGCCUGAGUCGCCUCCUCGCGUCUCCGCCACCCUCUCCUCCCCCUUGUCCAUCAAUUCUCGAUUCGUUUCGAAUCAAUCGCGUUUGAUUUCGCUCCUCGUCGCCUCUGCUCCCUGUGCUCGCAGGGGAUUCGGCCCGUCUCGUCCGCCUCCGGGGAGCGAUCGAUCGAUCGACCGGGGAAUCCCUCGAGCCGUUCGGUUUUGCCUCUGCGUCUGAUUUGAUUUCGGGUGACCGGAGGGCCGAAGCAAGGUCAGUUUCUCGCGCUCGAUCGGUCGGAUCGCUUCCUUGGUUCCGUCACCUGCCCGCGUUCGUCUCGUCGGUGGUUUCAGAUUUGAAAUUGAAUUGAACGCCGUCGACCGUGCGGCCUUCCGGCUCUAUUGUUCCCCGAUCGACCGCUCUCGUCCCGAGUUCCGUCGUCAUCAGUUAGUUAAUAAUACGAGGUGGAUUCGAGGCCCUCGUGGAUUCUUACUUUACCGGCUGAUCUGCUUUUGGUGUAUGUGCUCUCAUCCUAGAUGCAGAACCAAGAGGGCCAGCGCUUAGUUCUGGAGAGAUGAUACAGAUGAAGGGGUGGCGGAGGUUUGAUUUCUGUUCAUGGUUAUUCUGAUUGAUUGAUUACAGUCCAACGGUUAGUUUGAUUGAUUGAUUACAGUCCAACGGUUAUUCUGAUAUGAUCAAAUCUUCUGGGAUGAUCAAGCUUUCGACCUCUUACCAACCCAGGCUGGAAUACACGAUCUGCGUUUGGAUAAUAUACAUCAAUCCCUCCUAAUUUAGUUUCUGGUUCAAUUUAGCCUACUACAGUACAAUUCUGAUUUGGAUAUUUUGCUGGUUAUCCUGAAACUGGGAUUACAGAGGGCCACUUCGAGCCACCCGCCUUCUUGCUGACCUGCGUUUGCAUGAUCACUCUCUGUUUAAUUUGUUCUUCUCCACAAUUCAAUUAGUCCCCCAACAACUCUGAUUUUGAUAUGCUGCUGGCUCUCCAGAAACUGAAUGACAUAGCCUAGCGGCGGGUGGUCCUAAUUUGGCUCGGCAUGGCGUUUCUUCUUAUGGGGAUAAACUUUCUGGACCUUUCUUAUUGAAAUAAUUAUAUCUCAGCAAACAUUAGUUUCCCUGCCUUAGUCAUUCUCAGCUCUUGCAGAUGGUGCCUUGCAAGGGAUAUAAUUGGAGCUUGUCUACCUGACCUUCCCAGUCGAUACAGGCUUACUUUAUUUUAUCUUAACUCGUCAUCAUUUAAUCUAGUUCUCUUCCUAACUGAAACAUUUAUAGAAAGGUAUCUUGCUCGAUGCAGGUCCUAGUUCACGAACUCAAGGCCACCAACUUGAUGUGAGCAUGCGGUUCUUCUAAAUCUAUCUUCUCAAUUUCUUAACUUAGAUAAUAGUACUAAGAUUUCUUACUAGGCAAUAUUUCAAAUUCAGAUUAGUUGCAAAGGUGCAAGAAUGAAGCUUCAAAUUAGUGGCAUAUCCUAGAACCAGAAAAAACUUAAAUCUCUUAUUAUCCUCUUAUUUUUAUUUAAUUCAGCUAUAUGUUCAUGUCUUUGAUUUAGGUUUUUUCUUCUGCCCUCCAUGUCGUUGCAGAUUUAUUUUGGCCUAAGACAAUACUGGCAGUGAGCCUGAAUCUGUUAAAAUCGUCUGGUUUGCAAUCUAUCUCCUUGUGGUUUGAUUGGUUAUCUGUACUCUUGAUCCCUGCGUUAGUAUUCCUGCCCAUUGCUAUCUGAUAUAUUUAUAGGAAAUCUGGUCCUACAUGCAAACCUGUUGUUUGUACGUGUCACGGGGUCAGGUCAGUGUCUUGACGGUUGGUUCAUUUUUGUUGGCUUCCAUGGGUUGGUUGCAGGACUGGAUCUUGUAUGUGGAGAUCCCUGGGAUGUUGUAUGUCAAAGGGGAUUUGAGGCAGGUCAGAUGUGAAUGGCUAUCACUCGUGUGGUUUUCUCGUUCUCAUCAGGAGUUCCAUAAUCAUCAGCUAAUAUGAGGUGGAUUCGAGGUCCUAGUGGAUUCCUAUUGUAGCAGCUGAUUUCGCUUUUGGUGUGUGUUUGUGCUCCUUUAGAUGCAGCAGAAGCAAGAGGGUAGUGGCUCUGCAGAGAUGAGUCGAAGAGUUGAGGUUUGGUUUCUUAUACAAAUGGAUAGAUCUUUCCGGAGGACGGUGUUUUGGUGUUCAACUCCAACUUGUGAUCCGUGUUUGGAUGAUCUCAAAUUCUCGAUCACUCUGACUUUUAACUUACUCGUAUUUAUUUGCGAAGUACAAUAAUUUACUCCAAGAGAUUCUGAUUUGGAUUGGAUCUACAGAAAUUUAGAUUUGGCUUAGCGACAGGGGUGAUUUGUCUUCUUGCUGAUUGCUUUGGAUGAAUCAUUACUUCCUCCAUUUCAUUUAUUUCUCUCCAUAGCUCACCUUGAGUCUACGAUAAUCCUGCUUUGCAUUUGUUGGUGGUUCUUCAGAAAUUGAGGUUAUACGGCUUAGCGGGAGCACCUAUCGUCUUGGUGAUCUGCAGUGGAUGAUCAUUACCUACUCAGUUUAAUUUCUUCUUCUCCAGAGUUCAAUUAGUCACCCAACAAUUCUGUUUGUGAUCUGUUGAUGGUUGUACAGAAAUUGGAAUUACACGGCCUAGCGGGCGGUCCUAAUUUGCCUCAGCAUGGCGGUUCCUUCUGUGGCUCAAACUUUUUCAACCUUUCUUAUUGUCAUGACAUUAGGUUUUCUCUGCCUUGGUCGGUAAUUCUCAGCUCUUGCAGAUACUGACAUAGAAAGGCUAUAACUGCACUUUGGAACUGGUGGUGUUGUCGUCCGUCAACCAUAGCUGAACUUCCUAUCCGAGACAGGCUUACUUGUUCCCGCCCCAUCGUUUGAUCCAUGCUUUGGCUAUUUAUAAGUAACAUUUUUCCCUAAUUGAAAAUUUAUAGUAAGGUCUCUUGCUCGUUGCAGGUUGUAGUUGACGAAACUCGAGCCCAACCUGAUGAUGAAUCUGUUUGCAGAUCUUCUAAAUCUACUAGUAUACCUUCAAUUCAUUGCAACUUACAUAACCAACAAAUUAUCUUACUAGGCAAUAUUUUAUAAUACAGAUACAUAUGCAAAGGUGCACGAAUCUAAGGAUAAUCCGAAGCUUUUGACUAGUGGCACAUCCUACAACCGAAAAAACUCUUGCCAUCCUUCUUUUAAUUUCAUUUAGCUACUUGGCCAUAUCUUUGAUAUAGGUUUUUGCUCCUGCCUUUACUGUGGUUGCAGAUUUUUUUUAGCCCAGACCAUGUGGGUAAUGACUCGGAAUCUGUUCUAAUAUUUUGGUUUGCGAUCUAGCUCUCCAUUGUUUGAUUUGUUACCUUUAACUCUUGAUCCCUGUGUUCUAUUGGUCUUCUGCAAGUGUUGCAGGAUAUAAUAGUUAGGAGUUUGUGCCCAAACCUUUGCUCUGUACAUGGAGUCAGGUCAGUGUCUUGUAGAUGGUCUGUUUGUUUCAUUUGUUAGCGCCACCUCCAUGAGUUGGCUUGCAGGACUGGAUCUGGAUCUGGCCUGGACAUGAAGCUCCCUAUGGUGUAUAACAGUAUGGUGAAGGGGACUUUUGAGGCAGGUCAGUUUCCCAUGUUUGGUCACACUGGUUUACUGUAUCCCUCAUCUGUGCUCGGUGACAAAAGAUUUAAGUGGCUAUACCUUGAGUUCUUCAAUUUAUCUUUGUCUGUGGCUCAUCAGUAUGGCUGUGCCUCAAUAUGAGGUGAAUUGGUUCUCGUUGUAACAGCUGAUCUCGCUUGUGGUAUGUGUUUGUGCUCCUUGAGAUGCAGGAUGUUGUGGAGUGAUGAAUCAAAGGAUUAAGGUUUGCUUUACUGUUCAUGGUUACUUUGAUUGGUUAUGGCUCAAUGGCUGAUUAUAAGCUAGGAUCUUGUGUGCUGUCAAAUUUAGCUUACAACAUCUCUGAUAUGGAUUGUUGGUUCUCCAGCUAGUGGACUUAUGGGGACUUUCCGGAAGGUGCUCUGUUUUGUUUCACCAUGUUACAGGCGUUUUCUUCUGUUGACUUCAAUCUUUCCUGAUUUGCUUUGAACAUUGUACUUCCUAUGGUUUUCUCUGCCCUUGGUAACUACGUGUCCUUGCAGAUAUUGACAUGGAUGAGAGAUAAUAUAGUUCGCUAUCUGGAACUGGUGUUGUUGCCUAACUGAUCUCUCCCAGCCAAGCAGGCUUAUCCUAUCCCCUCACUGUUUUGAUGCAUCAUUUAGCUGUUUAUAAGUAGCUUCGUCUCCCCAAAGCAAAUAUUCAUGGGAAGAGGUCUGUUGGUCGUUGCAGGUCCUAAUUGACUAUUUAGGUCCAACCUGAUCCGGAGUUAUCUGUUUGAAGAUCUUCUAAACCCUUUCCAAUUCAUUGCAAUUUGUUCAACAUAUAUAAAUUAUCUUAUGGAGACAAUUUGAACAUUCAUAUUGAUUUGGUGGAUGUAUAAGAUUCGGAGGUUGCUCUGGGACAUCCUACAACCGAAAAAAUUCGGUGCUCUCUACAACCGAAAAACUAUCUUAUGCCGAGUUCCUGAAGAAACUUCUGCUAUCUUGGUUGCCUUUUGCUUGAUCAAGUCAUGCUGGUAGCCAUUCAAAAUAUGUUGCCUUUUUGGUUUCUCACUUUGUUAUCUGUACUCCCAAUCCAUGUGUUUCUGUUGGUCUGUUGGCCUGCUGGGCUUGUUCUUUGCAGUAUAUGUUGGAAUUGGUGGGUGUGCCCUGUGGAGUCAGGUCAGUGUUUGGUCUGCUCUCAAUGCAAAAAUUAGCUUUGUUCCUCUUCUUCAAUCUCCAAUGGCUAAUCAACGAUUCUGUCUGUCACGUAAUACAAGGUGAAUUUCAUCUCGUUUAUGAUAUGCGCAUUUGUUCCUUCAGAUACGAGACAGUGGAGAUCGUAUUGUAGGGUAGAGGUUUGGGUGAUUCAUGGCUUAGCUGUUCGGAUGAUAUCUUACAAGUUUGGGAUUGGAAUUGUUGGUCAUGCCCGCAUAGUUGAGGAUUCAUAAGUGUCUUGAGGCGUGACUGGACUGUUUGGUUUCUGUUCUGAGUAUUAUUUGGAUUUUUGGUUGUUCUCCAGCAUUUGAGCGUAGGCUUGCCCGGACUACUUUUUGGCUCAAUAAUUGGAAUGGUGCAGAGCUCUAGGAGAUUCUUCGUGAUUCAUUUCUCUGUUAACUUUUAACAUUCCAAACAUUGUUCUUUCUUGUCAGUAACUCCUAGUUCUAUGCAGAUGUGGCAUACAAUGAGGAUAAUUCAAACCAAUGUGCAUAACUUCACUAAACCAGGCUUCCCUAUCUCCCUUGCUAUAUUUGUUCACAUUCUUAGCUUUCUCAAAAAUGGUUAGGCAUCAUGGUCUUUUGUUCAUUGCAGGUGUACUUGACAAUUUUACAACAGAAAUCUGAUGUCAUGCUGCGUGAAAUUUAUUUUUGGAGACCUUCUGAUUUCACAUUUUUCUAUCGAUAAGCUAGAAAACCAGUUAGCUGUUAAGUCUGAGUAUUCAAACUGAUCCGCAGAGGUGAAGAAUUCUAAAAGCUUGUUUGGGAGCUUCGUUCUGGAGGGAGUACCUAUGCUCAAUGCUUUUUUCAACUCAUUGUCCAGUUCUAAUUAUGUUCUGACUUUCCUUCAAGAAACUUCAAGUAUUCUGAUUAUAUUUGGGCUGUUCAUUGAUCAUUCCUGUUGGAAAAUUGUAGAGUUGGAAAGUCUAGCAACACGUCAGUUGGUGGGGGGAUUUGGUGAAGCAAAUGGAUCAUCUGCUUCCCGGAUGUUUUUGACCUCUGAUUAACCCUGAUCCUGAAGCAUAUUAUACUUGAUUUGGUCUUUGUGGCAGCUUUCAGUUUGAACUUGCAUUCAGUGGUAGUUUGGAGUUAGUAGUGUGCACAUCUGAUUCUUCCAACCGUCCUGAAGCAUCUUACUUGGUUUCUGUUGUGUGCCAUCGGCUUCAACUUGCAUGUGGUUUGGAUGUCUCAUCUUUUGCUCCAAAUCAACAAAAUGCUACAAGUAUUGAUGUCUUAACUGGAAGUUCCUUUAGUCUCAAGGGCCCAACAAUGGAAAUACCAGUCCGUACUCAAAGUUUGUAUAGGAGAUUAUCAACUUUUGAUUUGGCUAUUAAUCACUAGAUGGUUGCCAUACUGUUUCCGGAAGUUAGUUUAAUAUUAGGCUGCUUGUAUCUAUAAAUUUAUCUCUAGCAGCAAUAUCUUCAGCUGCAAAUUUAUCACCUAUGUACAUGAGCUCUGUAUGCAGUAAAAGAUCUCCAUAUACACUUGGAUUUGUCGGUCUACUAUACCACAUAUAUUUGUCCACACUUGGUUUGUUUAUUUAACUAUUUUCCUGAAAGAGGCUAGGAGUUAUUGCCGUAUACUAAAA